rnacentral:rRNA from 1 species
AUUGAACGCUGGCGGCAGGCUUAACACAUGCAAGUCGAGCGGGGGAAGGUAGCUUGCUACCGGACCUAGCGGCGGACGGGUGAGUAAUGCUUAGGAAUCUGCCUAUUAGUGGGGGACAACAUCUCGAAAGGGAUGCUAAUACCGCAUACGUCCUACGGGAGAAAGCAGGGGAUCUUCGGACCUUGCGCUAAUAGAUGAGCCUAAGUCGGAUUAGCUAGUUGGUGGGGUAAAGGCCUACCAAGGCGACGACCUGUAGCGGGUCUGAGAGGAUGAUCCGCCACACUGGGAAUGAGGCACGGCCCAGAGCCCUACGGGAGGCAGCAGUGGGGAAUAUUGGGCAAUGGGGUGAACCCGGAUCCAGCCAUGCCGGGUGUGUGAAGAAGGCCUUAUGGUUGUAAAGCACUUUAAGCGAGGAGGAGGCUACUCUAGUUAAUACCUAGGGAUAGUGGACGUUACUCGCAGAAUAAGCACCGGCUAACUCUGUGCCAGCCGCCGCCGUAA